rnacentral:rRNA from 1 species
CCUACGGGAGGCUGCAGUGGGGAAUAUUGCACAAUGGGCGCAAGCCUGAUGCAGCCAUGCCGCGUGUGUGAAGAAGGCCUUCGGGUUGUAAAGCACUUUCAGCGGGGAGGAAGGCGGUGAGGUUAAUAACCUCAUCGAUUGACGUUACCCGCAGAAGAAGCACCGGCUAACUCCGUGCCAGCAGCCGCGGUAAUACGGAGGGUGCAAGCGUUAAUCGGAAUUACUGGGCGUAAAGCGCACGCAGGCGGUCUGUCAAGUCGGAUGUGAAAUCCCCGGGCUCAACCUGGGAACUGCAUUCGAAACUGGCAGGCUAGAGUCUUGUAGAGGGGGGUAGAAUUCCAGGUGUAGCGGUGAAAUGCGUAGAGAUCUGGAGGAAUACCGGUGGCGAAGGCGGCCCCCUGGACAAAGACUGACGCUCAGGUGCGAAAGCGUGGGGAGCAAACAGGAUUAGAUACCCUAGGAGUC